rnacentral:rRNA from 1 species
GAGUUUGAUCCUGGCUCAGGACGAACGCUGGCGGCGUGCCUAAUACAUGCAAGUCGAGCGGACAGAUGGGAGCUUGCUCCCUGAUGUUAGCGGCGGACGGGUGAGUAACACGUGGGUAACCUGCCUGUAAGACUGGGAUAACUCCGGGAAACCGGGGCUAAUACCGGAUGGUUGUUUGAACCGCAUGGUUCAAACAUAAAAGGUGGCUUCGGCUACCACUUACAGAUGGACCCGCGGCGCAUUAGCUAGUUGGUGAGGUAACGGCUCACCAAGGCRACGAUGCGUAGCCGACCUGAGAGGGUGAUCGGCCACACUGGGACUGAGACACGGCCCAGACUCCUACGGGAGGCAGCAGUAGGGAAUCUUCCGCAAUGGACGAAAGUCUGACGGAGCAACGCCGCGUGAGUGAUGAAGGUUUUCGGAUCGUAAAGCUCUGUUGUUAGGGAAGAACAAGUACCGUUCGAAUAGGGCGGUACCUUGACGGUACCUAACCAGAAAGCCACGGCUAACUACGUGCCAGCAGCCGCGGUAAUACGUAGGUGGCAAGCGUUGUCCGGAAUUAUUGGGCGUAAAGGGCUCGCAGGCGGUUUCUUAAGUCUGAUGUGAAAGCCCCCGGCUCAACCGGGGAGGGUCAUUGGAAACUGGGGAACUUGAGUGC